rnacentral:rRNA from 1 species
UACGGGGGGGGCAAGCGUUGUUCGGAAUUACUGGGCGUAAAGGGCGCGUAGGCGGUUCGCUAAGUUGGAUGUGAAAACUCUGGGCUUAACCCAGAGCCUGCAUCCAAAACUGGCAAACUUGAGUACUGGAGGGGAAAGCGGAAUUCCUGGUGUAGCGGUGAAAUGCGUAGAUAUCAGGAGGAACACCUGUGGCGAAAGCGGCUCACUGGACCAUAACUGACGCUGAGGCACGAAAGCUAGGGGAGCAAACAGG